AGCUUUGUGCAGUGGCAGUAACGUAGCCAAUGAGGUUUAUCCGAGGCGCGAUUAUUGCUAAUUGAAAACUUUUCCUAAUACCCCGCCGGGACGACUUGCAACUUUAGACUCUUGUAUCGGGCAGUGAGACUGGAGUAGAAAUAUAA